rnacentral:rRNA from 1 species
CGGCGGCCCGAGUGGUGGCCGCUAUUAUUGGGCCUAAAGCGUCCGUAGCCGGGCCCGUAAGUCCCUGGCGAAAUCCCACGGCUCAACCGUGGGGCUUGCUGGGGAUACUGCGGGCCUUGGGACCGGGAGAGGCCAGGGGUACCCCUGGGGUAGGGGUGAAAUCCUAUAAUCCCAGGGGGACCGCCAGUGGCGAAGGCGCCCGGCUGGAACGGGUCCGACGGUGAGGGACGAAGGCCAGGGGAGCGAACCGGAUUAGAUACCCGAGUAGUCC